CCUACGGGAGACAGCAGUGGGGAAUAUUGCACAAUGGGGGAAACCCUGAUGCAGCGACGCCGCGUGAGUGAAGAAGUAUUUCGGUAUGUAAAGCUCUAUCAGCAGGGAAGAAAAUGACGGUACCUGACGAAGAAGCCCCGGCUAACUACGGGCCAGCAGCCGCGGUAAGACGUAGGGGGCAAGCGUUAGCCGGAUUUACGGGGUGUAACGGGAGCGUAGACGGCAGGACAAGUCUGGCGUUAAAUGCCGGGGCUUAACCCCGGAACUGCUUUGGAAAAGGUGCCGCGCGAGUGCAGGAGCGGUAAGUGGCAUUCCUAGUGUAGCGGUGAAAUGCGUAUAUAUUAGGAGGAACACCCGUGGCGCCGGCGGCGUGCUGGACUGUGACUGACGUUGAGGCUCGACGUCGUGGGGAGCAAACAGGAUUAGAUACCCCUGUAGUC
rnacentral:rRNA from 1 species